GAAUCUAUUCAAAGAAAAGAAAAUCAUAUCAAAGACAUAUCUGCACCCCCAUGUUUAUUGCAGCACUGAUACAGAAGCUAAAAAGAAAGUAUGUAGGCAGUUAGUGAGGGUAAGAGAGUCCUCAGUAAGCUUUCUCUUUUAAUAAAAAGCAGCCCCCAAAUAAUUUAUUUUCUAACGAAGAGCAUCCUGAAAAAUCAAGCUGCAGACAUAGAAAAGCAAGCUAGAAGCUUGCACAAGUGAAUGCUGGCGACUGUGCCAAUAGGAAAAGGCUACCUGGGGGCCAAGUAUGUUCAACAUGGAGGCUCCAUCUUUCCUUUUCUUUGUCAACCAUGUGUACGUAAAGAAGCAGACAACAUGGUGCCAGCCAGGUAGAGAACCCAUCUGCAUAAUGAAAGAUUAGGGUGGGGCAGCCAGCUUCUUUGCAUGCUAUGCAAAUGGCACAACUGGUCCAAGCAAUCUUUUGGGCCCUAUGUAAAUCAAACAUGGCCUCCUGAAGCUACUGCAUAAAACCCCGUGCAUUUCACUACAGAACUGGAAGACCUGUUCAGGAGCCCCUCUCUCUCUGCAGGAGAGAGAGCUUUUCUCUUUAUCUCCCCUAUUAAACCUCUGCUCUUAACCUCACUCCUUGUGUGUCCACGUCCUUAAUUUCCUUGGUGUGAGGCAACAAACCUCAGGAAUUACCCCAUACAAACAAUGCUACUUCAGCACUAUUCACAAUAGCCAAGAUAUGGAAUCAACCCAGGUGUUGAUGAACAGAUGAAUGGAUUAAAAAAAUGUGGUAGAUAUACACAACGGAAUAUUCAGUUUUAAAAAAAGAAUGAAAUUCUGUCAUUGUGGCAACAAGGAGGGAAAUGGAGGACAUCACAUUAAGUGGAAUAAACCAGGAAUAAUGUUAAACACCUCAUGUUCUCAUUCAUAUAUGGAAGCUAAAAAUAUUGAUCUUACAGAAGUAAAAGUAGAUCAGAGGAUACUACAGGCUGGGGAGAGUAAGGAGAAGGAAGAGACAGGAGAUUUAUUAAAUAAUUCAAAGUUACAACUAGAAAGGAGAAUAAGUUCUCAUCUUCUGUAUCAUGGUAGGAUGUCUAUAGUUAACAAUAAUGUAUGGUUUCAAAUAGCUAGAAGGAGGAUAUUGAAUGUUCUGAACACAAAUAAAUGAUAAACGUUUGAGAAGAUGGAUAUGCGAAUUAUCCUUUAUCCUGAUCUGAUCACUAUACAUUGUGUGUACCAAACAUCACUAUGUACCCCACGAAGAUGUGCAAUUAGUAUUUGUCAGUUAAUAAAAAUAACAAAUAUUAAAGAUUUUAAACAUGGAAGUACCACAGUAAAAGAAAAAAUAAAAGAAGUUAUGUUAUCUGUAACUACUUGCUAACGUGCCUAUCUCUCACACGAUUUUGGUACAGAAUAAAGGGGUCAAUAAAUGUUUGUUGAGUGACUUCUUUCAUCAAUAGAGAGACUCCUAUUGUUGAUAAAUAUGCCAUGUGAAUAAUUUAUAAUUACUACUGUGUUACCACCAACACCAACACCCUUUAUUGAGCAUUUCUUCAGUAUCAGAAAUAAGUUCUCAAAUGAAUUCCGUGAGGUAGGUGUUAGCAUCAUUAUAAGAAGAGAUGAAUCUUCAAUGGAGGCAAGUUAUUUACUAGAAAAUUUUCUACUAAAUAUGUAAAUUGAACUUCAAAUUAGAUCUAUUUGCCUAUAAAGCCAUGUGUUCUGCCAAAAAAUAUAAAUGAUCUUUAGUGUAUAAAGAGCUAUAGUAAGAAAAGAUAAAAACUUGAUUACAAUUUGUCCUGUCAAGUUCAAGGUCAAUUGCUGAUAUUUCCAUUCGGUUAUAUCCAUUUAUUCUGUAAACCAUGAAGGACAGGAGAGCAGAACAUGAGGAAAGAAGGAGUGUUGAUUGAUAUUUUACUUUGCUUUAUGUGUCUUAGGCUGAAGUUUUGCUUUUAUCCACAGAAUUAUGGUAACUCUUUGCUUGCUACUUUGGCUGCCCAGCACUCAAUCACUCUUCUAAUAAGUGGUCUGAUUUCUUUUGAGAGAAUUACUCCCCCUUUCUGAGAAGUUAUGGUGGGACCUUCAGUGGAGGCAAUCCCUAGCCCAGAGUAGAAUACUUUGGAUCAUCCAGCUGCAUCUUCCCCUACUAUUGAGACUACUUUCCUAUGUGCUGAUGAUAUGGGUCAGUUGUCAUGUACCAGGAGUUGCUACAACAGAUGGCUACAGAUAAAAUGUUGGGUUUUCAAUGGCUCGUUCCCUGAUGUUUUGGGGCAGAAUGGAGGAUUGUUACCUGAGAAAUGUUCCAACUCCUGGCAGUGUAUUCCCUCUACCUGGCAUAAGGAAAAGCACAUUGCAACUUCUUGAGUGCUCAGUCACAUUUGAAGAAACUGAUGGAACAGCUCGUAAAUUGGUUUCAUCACAGUCAAGCUCCAGACCUUGGCAAAGACAUUGCACUGGCACAGAACCGACCACUGAAUCAAGGGGAAGUGGUGCUUUGAACAUGCAGUGAUAUGCUAUAGAAGCCAAGAAGAAAAUACAAAUGCCUUCUAGGUUAUGACACCAGUUUGACCUGAGGAAGUGAUCUUUGCCUUACCACUCCCACUCCAUAAGAAUAAAGGGACAUCAGAAGUUUCCUUCUGCAAUGACUGCAUAACCUACCCCAUCCCUAUAAAGGGUAUAAACUCAUACGACCUUAGUUAUUAUUCCCACGGUGAUUUUAGGAAGAGUUUAUGUGUGCAUAUGCAAGUGUGCAUACACACUGGAACAGCAAAGAUAAAACAUGAUACAUUGUUGUUAACCUUCAAGUCUCUUUAUAUUCUUUAGUAAUUGCACAAGAGGGCAAGAGUCACAUGUGAAACUAAUUACAGAAGAUCAUAUUGAGUAGUGUACCCGUUAAAAUGCUGUUGUGAGUUUACAUUAUUCAUUAAAAGAUUGAAUAUAAGAAAAAAUUCUGAUUUUUAUAGGUUAUUUCCAAAGGGAGUCGACUCCAUUUUUAAAAUGCUACUGUUUGGGAGGGUCUCCCUAUUUCAAUGAAAUGACUAUCUGAAAAGUACACAUAUUGUUUUGUUUAUAAAAAAUCUCUGGUGUGUUUUGUUUGGACUUUUCUAACCACGUCACUUAGCAAAUUGGUUUUUGCCCAAAUGUUUUCUACAUGCUGUAUUAUUUGACCAUCUGUUGUCUUUGACACAUUUUCUGAGUUUUAUUUAUUUUUAAAAAGUUGU